rnacentral:lncRNA from 1 species
CUAUGAAAUUUGACGGUAUUCAACGGCAGUAGAUUUUAAGAGUUGAUGAAGAUGAUGGCAUCGAAUGAUUCAGUUAGUAAUAAUAUUUUCAACAGUUUGAAACUCAAAUACUCAUUCAUUCACAUUUUUAUGCCUCAAAACUAGGCGACAAAAAACUUCAACCUAGAAACAUGUGAAUCGAAGGAAGGAGACCAAGAAAAACAGAAUGGAUAAACUGCCCAGGUAAGAUUUUAAUUAUUUCAAGUUCACAUUUGUUUCAUACUAAAUGUUUGUUUCUCCGACAACACCGCUCUCUGCAAAUCCUCCAUUUUCACAUCACCGCCACAAAACACCAUCCUCGUUCCACCGUCCACCGCCGCAUUCUUCACACUUCUCCACUCACACAAGUUCCCAUUUACAACCUCACAUACAACAAGUUCAUCCAACACCAACGUGUUACGCAAGUAAACCAAAUUCCCAACCCAAAUUGCUUCAACUGAACCAAACUCUGAAUCACCUCUCAACUUCUCCACCAUCUCCUUCGGCAUCGAACCUAUUUCCUCCAUUCCCGAAUCUAUUUCCUCCUUAACAGCCCACAGCUUUACUUCUCUUACGUUCCCCGGUUCACCCACCAAUCCGGCCACCGUCAAUUUCUCUGACAAAGUUCCGGUGACGGUGUAGAGUACACUUUUAUCAUCUGGACGUAGAUAAUAAGGCCCUUCCCAAUCCAUCGUAGUUGUAUUGAACGUGUACGUCACACCGGAAUUCUUCUCCGUCACGAGCAUGGUUUCUCCGACAACCGCAACCGAUAGCCACGAGGAUGCCGACGAUGUCUUCAGUGUCAUUGGCAUCGACUGGCAAUUGACCCAAUCACGGCUCUCCAUGUUGUACAUCUCCACUGCAAGUGGAUCAUCUUCAAACUCACACGCGCCGCCAGCAACCACCACACAAUUUCCAACGCGCGCUACUAUUGGAUCAGUGCGCCACACGCGCGGUGACGGUGCUUUAUGCCACUCGAGUUGAAGUGCGUCGAGUGAAAACGUAAACUCCGAUGGGGAUAAGGUGUAAAGCAGAGUUGAAUGAGAUGAUCUAAUGGCUGGAAUUUCCUGAGUUUUGUUGAUCAACGGUUGGUGUUUAGUUAUCUGAAGCCACGCAUGAGAGCGAGGAUCAUAAGCAUGAGCGAUGGUCACGCGCGAAGCGCGUGAUGUUUGGGGUAAAACAAUGAGCCAUGGUUUGAUUUGUCUUACGUGGGUAAGUGAAGAGAAAACAGUUUUGUUCCAUGAUUUAGAUACGUGACAAGAUGGAACAAGGUCGAUGAGUGGCACGAAUGAAAAUAUUGUUUCUAAAACAUCACCAUGGAUGGGUGCUUCUUGUUUGGGUUCUCUUUUUAUGGCAGCCAUGUUGAAGGAAAUGAAUAAGCUGCUUUUGUUUAAGUGCUUUUCUUUGUUUUGGGUGGUAGUAGAGUUUUGGAGUGGAGAGGGAAAGUGUUUCUGUGUUUUAUGGUUUUGAGUGGUUUAUUUAUAUAGAAGUGGGAAAAGGAGAAUAGUAUCCUCUUUGAUGGGUGUGAAUUGGUGACCUAUCGUAACGUUUCAACCUAUUAUUGGUACGGUGUUAAACUUUUUCCUUAUGGUCAAUACAGAAAGACACAACUUUUCGAAUCUUUCAAUGCUAGAUUAAUUUCCCUCAAUGCAAUCGAUCCCAAAACAAAGCUGUUUAUGUACUUUCAAGCAUUAGUAAUUUACAAAUUAUUUUUAAUAGCGAUUUGUAAAUAGUAUACUUAUGGAACUGUUUGGCCACAUUAUUUUACAGGUUAAGAAAUCAUGUUGAGAUGGCUAAACAGUAAAACUUAGUUGGAUGAUAGUAUGAAAAUAGUUUUGCUUUUAUUCUUUUUCAUAAUAAAAGAUACUUUUACAUUUGGAGCACACUACCAUAUUCCAAGUCAAUAUCACUAUAUCAAUUCAAGUGGAUUGUAUUCUCUGAUGUCUUGAUUAUAAAAGUCAAUAUCACUAUAUCAACUCAAGUGGGUUGUAUUCCCUGAUGUCUUAAUUAUAAACGACUUUUUUAUUUUUUAGAUUCAUUGAAUAAAUAAUAUAUGUAGUCUAGAAUAUAUAC